GGGCCCAUGGUCUAGCGGUUAGGACGCGACAUUCACACUGUCGAGCUCGCCGGUUCGAUCCCGGCUGGGCCCA
rnacentral:tRNA from 1 species